AUUGAACGCUGGCGGCAUGCUUUACACAUGCAAGUCGAACGGUAACAGGCCGCAAGGUGCUGACGAGUGGCGAACGGGUGAGUAAUGCAUCGGAACGUGCCCAGUCGUGGGGGAUAACUACUCGAAAGAGUAGCUAAUACCGCAUACGAUCUAUGGAUGAAAGCGGGGGACCGUAAGGCCUCGCGCGAUUGGAGCGGCCGAUGUCAGAUUAGGUAGUUGGUGGGGUAAAGGCUCACCAAGCCAACGAUCUGUAGCUGGUCUGAGAGGACAACCAGCCACACUGGGACUGAGACACGGCCCAGACUCCUACGGGAGGCAGCGGUGGGGAAUUUUGGACAAUGGGCGCAAGCCUGAUCCAGCAAUGCCGCGUGCAGGAAGAAGGCCUUCGGGUUGUAAACUGCUUUUGUACGGAACGAAACGGCUCUGGUUAAUACCCGGGGCUAAUGACGGUACCGGAAGAAUAAGCACCGGCUAACUACGUG
rnacentral:rRNA from 1 species